AUAAAUAUGAACUACCUUGUAGAUUUAAUCGUUAGAUAAAUGGGCUAACAAGUCUCUACCGCCUACCCGAUAAUAGGCGACAAUCCACAAUUGAUUAGUGAAA
rnacentral:ncRNA from 2 species